rnacentral:rRNA from 1 species
UGAGUAAUAUAUCGGAACGUGCCCAGUCGUGGGGGAUAACGUAGCGAAAGCUACGCUAAUACCGCAUACGAUCUAUGGAUGAAAGCGGGGGAUCGCAAGACCUCGCGCGAUUGGAGCGGCCGAUAUCAGAUUAGGUAGUUGGUGGGGUAAAAGCCUACCAAGCCUUCGAUCUGUAGCUGGUCUGAGAGGACGACCAGCCACACUGGAACUGAGACACGGUCCAGACUCCUACGGGAGGCAGCAGGUGGGGAAUAUUGGACAAGUGGGCGCAAGCCUGAUCCAGCCAUGCCGCGUGAGUGAUGAACGGCCCGUAGGGUUGUAAAGCUCUUUCGACGGGGACGAUAAUGACGGUACCCGUAGAAGAAGCCCCGGCUAACUUCGUG